ensembl:snoRNA SNORA63 Small nucleolar RNA SNORA63
AAGCAGGAAAAGUUACAGGACAGCUGGGCAGUGCUGUGCUGUCGUUCCCCCUGCACAAAGUGACCUGUUUCUUACUAUCCCUGACUGUUGGUAUCCCCACCACUGACAGGGACGCUUGGUCUCAGACAU